GAUGAACGCUGACAGAAUGCUUAACACAUGCAAGUCCACUUGAAUUUGGGUUUUUAACUUAGGUUUGGGUGGCGGACGGGUGAGUAACGCGUAAAGAACUUGCCUCACAGCUAGGGACAACAUUUGGAAACGAAUGCUAAUACCUAAUAUUAUGAUAAUAGGGCAUCCUAUAAUUAUGAAAGCUAUAAGCGCUGUGAGAGAGCUUUGCGUCCCAUUAGCUAGUUGGAGAGGUAACGGCUCACCAAGGCGAUGAUGGGUAGCCGGCCUGAGAGGGUGAUCGGCCACAAGGGGACUGAGACACGGCCCUUACUCCUACGGGAGGCAGCAGUGGGGAAUAUUGGACAAUGGACCGAGAGUCUGAUCCAGCAAUUCUGUGUGCACGAUGAAGUUUUUCGGAAUGUAAAGUGCUUUCAGUUGGGAAGAAACAAAUGACGGUACCAACAGAAGAAGUGGCGGCUAAAUACGUG
rnacentral:rRNA from 1 species